rnacentral:lncRNA from 1 species
CUUUUUGCAGCAAAUCAUGAUUGCACAAAGGUAGUUUCUUUUAAAUAAUACAAAAAUAAAGGUGCAAUUUUGAUCGAUGCUUGGUGAAACUCUGUUCUCCUAUAUAACGGACUAUUCUAUACAGUAACAUGAAUAUAGUUUUGAACUGUGCUUCCCUGUUGACAUCACUAGAAAUUCCAGAUUUGGUAAUGUUUCUUUUUUGUACCUGAUCCAAAAUGCAUAAUUGACAUCUUUUCUACUGACAAGGAAAUCCGUGCAGUGGACAAUUAAUCAGUGAUAUCUGUCCCUGGCUUUGCAGUGUGGCAAUGUCUACCUGUUGGAAAAGACACAAAAUUUCUAUCCCUUUGUGAUACGUUUACAUUCUACAGGGCCUUGCAGGAUAUCUUUCCAUUGUGUUAUUAGGAGAUUUUGGCAUAGGACAUUGCAACUGAAUAGCUUUUGUGCAUUUUUUUCCCCAUAUGUGUUACUUUUUCACAAGGUAUCAGCACUAUUGCCUGCAUGACAUAUAGAACGUUAUGUUGUCCUUCCAGAAAUUGUUAAGCAACCUGUUGCUAUGAGGGACUGGGCUACAGAACACAGCUAGGCCUACAUGACAAGGCUUGAGCAAGAAUUGGGAACCCAGUAACUGUAGGGGAACUGUGGGUCACAAUCAUUGUAGUAUUGACUCUACAACUUUGGAAAUUAAGGUGAAGCACAGCCUUCUCAAGGGAAUGGCUUACAAGGAGCUGAUGCUUCUGAAGCAAUACCAUAACAGUUAUGUGUACGACCCAAGGGGAAGAUUUAAUCACUUUCCGGUCAACAUGUGUGAACCCUCGGAGGCCGGUGCGUACCUUUAACAAGCUGAUACCAGAGCUCCUUGCUGUGUUGCCGGUUAGUACCUGUCCCAGCAACAGCAACAGAAGCCAGGAAGGAUGUCUUUCACAUGGAAGACACUCAACUGGUGCUCAGCACAGAAUGGACUGAGAGAUUUAAUCCUCAUUUAAUGCAGCACUGUUUUAUCUCUAUCAGGCAAACACAUGGGCACGAAGCACAUUCUACAUAUGUUACACUGUCUAAGGUUUCUCCUAUUAAAAAUAUGAAUAAUUAAUUAAAUUGAGAUCCCUG